GUAAGAAUAAUUUCUAGAAACCUCAAGGAAAGGCACAUAUGGUCCACCCAGAAGGAGAAGAAUAGACUGCAGAUCUCAGUGAUUUUAAGAUAGAAAUUGAGCGACUGAUGACUCAACUUGAAUAUCUUGGCUCGUUCAUGUAAGUUUUCCAUCUCUCAUGGUUAAAUGCCUAAGAAACACUUUUUGCACUAUCCUGGAUUAUAGAUUCAGGAGUCACCAACCAUACGACCAAUUCCUCUAAAUAUUUUUAACACAACACCUAUGUCCCAUGUCCCAACAAUAGGAAAAUUAUUACUGCUGUCAUUAAUCAUAAUAGCAGGAGUUGGAAACAUAAAGCUCAGUCCUCAUUUUGCUCUUACUAAUGCACUUCAUGUUUCUCAAUAAUGUAUAAAUCUAAUACCAGUGAAGUGAUCUUUUCUUAUUCUCUUUGCGAAUUUCAUGACCAGAACUUGGGAAUGAUGAUGGGACAUGUUGAAGCUCGAGAUGGAUUAUACUUUGUGAAUGCACCUGAGAUGCCACGUAUUACUUUUUCUACGAGCUCUCCGUGGAUAAGAUAUGGCUACACCAUAGAAGAUCAAUACACCCUUCUUUCUCUAUCCCUAAGAUUAUGUUUCCCUCUUUAUUUAUGGU
rnacentral:lncRNA from 1 species